rnacentral:misc_RNA from 1 species
UUUGAUCUGAACCAAUAAUGGCCUCCAAGUCAGCAUAUGAAAUAUUGAGGGAAAUCAUUUAUGAAAUAACAACGCCCUCAGCCUUCCACACUUCAUGAACUGCUUGGGUUAAGUAGUCGGAAUAACCACAGACCCAGUCAAUAUAAAGAGAAAUACCCUUGUAAGACUAGGGAACAUGUCAUAUAACUCGCGGGAGUAUGAUUUCAAGAGCUAGAGUAUCGUACAAGUCAAGUUGCAUCCUUACCAACCAGUCUAAGUCAAGGUACCUCCUUUCAAAGGUUGGCGUACCUAUCUAUCGAAAGCCCGUUGGGUGGGACCCUCAUCUG